CGUCAAAGCUUAAUUAUAGAGCCCAAGGAAAUCCCCCAAAUUAACUAAAACCCCACCCCAAUACUGAAUAAUUCCAUAUUUUUAUGGAAAAUAUUAUGUUAAAACUAGUAACAUGGAGUAAAACCUUCUCUUAAAUGUAGAUAUAAGUCAAAAUGGAACGCACACCGACAACUAACAGCUUAAAUUAAAGUAAUAAACUACUCAAGAAAACCCUACUGAUCCAUCUGUUAACCUAACACAAGAACAUUUAAAGAAAGACUUAAAGAAAAAGAAGGAACUCGGCAAAACUGAUUCCGCCUGUUUACCAAAAACAUCGCCUCCUGAAUCAGACUAUAGGAGGUCCAGCCUGCCCAGUGACCCUGUUUAACGGCCGCGGUACCCUAACCGUGCGAAGGUAGCGUAAUCACCUGUUUUUUAAUUAAAGACCUGUAUGAAAGGCAUCACGAGAAUCAUACUGUCUCCUUUUUUAAGUCAGUGAAAUUAAUCUCCCCGUGAAAAAGCGGGGAUAACACUACAAGACGAGAAGACCCUUUGGAGCUUAAGACAAAAUAAAUACUUGCUCCACCACACCACACAGCAUAUUAUUUAUAAGUCUUGGGUUGGGGCAACCACGGAGUAAAAACAAACCUCCGAGCUGAACGGAAAUUUCCUAAACAAAAAGCAACAACUUGAUGUAUCAGCAAACUGACACAAUUUGACCCAAAAAUUUGAUUAACGAACCAAGUUACCCAAGGGAUAACAGCGCAAUCCACUUAAAGAGUCCAUAUCGAGAAGUGGGCUUACGACCUCG
rnacentral:rRNA from 1 species